CUACUCUGGUUUCUCUUCAGAUCGUAUAAAUCUUUCGCCUUUUACUAAGGAUUGCUGUGGAGAGUUAAAAAGAAAAGUAAAACAAUAUUUUCUGUGCAGAAAACAAACUACAGUCUGCC